rnacentral:misc_RNA from 1 species
UUAAAUCAUUCGUUUCCUGUUCAGACGACGGACUUGACACUGCAUAAACACGACGCCGGGGCGUCGAAGCACGAUCUUCUGUCUUCCACGGUUUUGAAGGGUCGACGGCCCGAGGGCCAUUCGGUAAUGAUCCCUCCGCAGGUUCACCUACGGAGA